rnacentral:lncRNA from 9 species
UUUUUUUUUUUUUUUCCAUGCUUUGUUGGCAGGCACCUCUCACUUGGGGGAAUUUUAUUUUAUUAAAUGACUGUCAAGAAAGAAAAGGAUCUGCAUUAUCACAUUUUUCAGGAAAGAGGAACAAUUUACCAUAAUCCUGGAGCAAUUCCUACCAGAAAUGUGUUGGAAGAAGUGAAUCCACACAAUGAAAGGAACUGACCCAUGUAGAACACUGUGAUACACCAACGAAUCUCUCUCAAGGAAGGCCUUGUUGAUUCAUAUUCUGGGAGUGUUUUCUGAGCAGAGUCUUCAGCUGUCAGCCCUUCACAGAUUGCCCACAGUCACCCCUUUCUGGGGUGGCUCACAUCCAACAAAUUAUACAUGUAGGAGUAAAAAAGUAUGGUCAUCUUGGCCCAGGGAAAUAUCUUUUACUUUAAUAUGAGAGGUAUUUGAACAUGUUUAAACAUUGGUGGAAAGAAGACAGUAAAAAGCAGGGGAAAUUUCUUCAAAGAGCAGAAGGCAGAAGUGCUAUGAAAUUCACGUUACAGGUGAUAUUGUAACAAAAGGUCAUGUUGUAUUAGUCCUACAUAAUAGGCAAGAUUGACUUCAAUAUUUUCUUAAAAAGCAUCGCCGUUAGCUUUACUGAAUUUAUAAAAUCACAUUUAGAACAUAUUGUAAUAAUUACAUUUGAAUCAUUUAAUAUGGCCUUCAUUUGAAUUUUCUACGCAUCACAAUGAUUUGGUAUUGUCAUCAAGUCAUCCGUAUGAUAGUUUUAACCCCCAAUUCAGGUAUCUGCAACCUCAUAUAAGACUGUAACUAUGCUUAUAUUUUUAUUCAGAUUUUUUUUCCUAUGAAUUUUGACUGACUUAGGCCAUAGUUGUUGGCAAAAAUCUUGCAUUGGCUCCGGGCUUCAUCCCAAAUACUGUCUUUAUGUAGAACUAAAACAAAACUUCUCAUAUGUGGAUCACUGGGGAAUGAGGCUGAUUUGGAUAUAUGGGAAUCCUGAAAGCCUGGCUCUCUUUUCAGCCAUGUGGCCACUUGCUCUCCUCCCUUCUGUUUAGCCCCAUCUCUGCAUUGGGAACUGGUCCCACCACUGUUUCACGCCAAUUCAUCUUUGGAUCCAGCUGGCCCUAACUCUACUGCUAGCUCUAGUUGUUCCAAGUUUUUAUGCCAGACUAAGUCUUCCCUGUCCAAUAUGGUUGGCCCUAUCUUUGUUUCCGGUCUCAAGCCAGACCCAAUUUAUGCAGAUAAACCAGAAAUUUGGGUGUGGAUCAACAGGUUGGGGCAGAUAUUUGGAGUUGUGCUGUAAUCCAUCAAAUUUAGCAACACAUUGUUCAUAAGACGGGCUACAUUGUUUUUUUAAAGGGAAAUCCUUUCCUGUCAUUCUUUUCUCUUCACUGUUUCCAUUUUCCACCGGCUGAAAAAACAAAUGUGGGUGGAUAUGGUCCUGGACAUUCUUUUGAGUUAGACUGGUGCCAUAAAACAUCCCCACCAUGAUAACAUAUUUUGUUUAAAUUUAAAUUUAUCAUAAAGCAUCAGUCAUUUCUAGAAAGUUGCUACCAUACACUUUGGUUUCUCUGACUCCUAGGGAACUCUCAAGCCAAGUAAGAAUGUUGAUAAGCAGUGCAGAAGGAUUCUCUCUGCCAUCUGUACUUUGGGGAUUUUUAGUCUUAAACAUCCAGCAGACAAUUAGGUAACUUGUUUGAAAUACAAAGCAAAGUUGUAACUGCAAAGACUCCCAGUGCCCCUCUUCUUAUCCUGCCAGUGUUGAAGCCAUUUUUUUUAAAAAAAGUCAAAUUUGAAGAUAAGUGAAGUAAUAUUUUACUGGAAUAUAAUAAUGAUGCUAAUACAG